rnacentral:rRNA from 1 species
UGGGGAAUUUUGGACAAUGGGCGCAAGCCUGAUCCAGCCAUGCCGCGUGCGGGAAGAAGGCCUUCGGGUUGUAAACCGCUUUUGUCAGGGAAGAAAUCUUCUGAGUUAAUACCUCGGGAGGAUGACGGUACCUGAAGAAUAAGCACCGGCUAACUACGUGCCAGCAGCCGCGGUAAUACGUAGGGUGCAAGCGUUAAUCGGAAUUACUGGGCGUAAAGCGUGCGCAGGCGGUUUUGUAAGACAGAGGUGAAAUCCCCGGGCUCAACCUGGGAACUGCCUUUGUGACUGCAAGGCUUGAGUGCGGCAGAGGGGGGAUGGAAUUCCGCGUGUAGCAGUGAAAUGCGUAGAUAUGCGGAGGAACACCGAUGGCGAAGGCAAUCCCCUGGGCCUGCACUGACGCUCAUGCACGAAAGCGCGGGGAGCAAACAGGAUUAGAUACCCCUGGUAGUCCACGCCCUAAACGAUGUCAACUGGUUGUUGGGAAGGUUCCUUCUCAGUAACGUAGCUAACGCGUGAAGUUGACCGCCUGGGGAGUACGGCCGCAAGGUUGAAACUUAAAUGAAUUGACGGGGGUCAUAGCUG